UGGCGACGGGUGAGUAACGCGUGGAAAACCUGCCGUAUACUGGGGGAUAACACUUAGAAAUAGGUGCUAAUACCGCAUAAGCGCACAGCUUCGCAUGAAGCGGUGUGAAAAACUCUGGUGGUAUACGAUGGUUCCGCGUCUGAUUAGCUAGUUGGUGGGGUAAUGGCCUACCAAGGCAACGAUCGGUAGCCGGCCUGAGAGGGUGAACGGCCACAUUGGGACUGAGACACGGCCCAAACUCCUACGGGAGGCAGCAG
rnacentral:rRNA from 1 species